rnacentral:rRNA from 1 species
GGAGGAUCCAAGCGUUAUCCGGAAUCAUUGGGUUUAAAGGGUCCGUAGGCGGUCUUGUAAGUCAGUGGUGAAAGCCCAUCGCUCAACGGUGGAACGGCCAUUGAUACUGCAGGACUUGAAUUACUAGGAAGUAACUAGAAUAUGUAGUGUAGCGGUGAAAUGCUUAGAGAUUACAUGGAAUACCAAUUGCGAAGGCAGGUUACUACUAGUGGAUUGACGCUGAUGGACGAAAGCGUGGGUAGCGAACAGGAUUAGAUACCCUGGUAGUCCACGCCGUAAACGAUGGAUACUAGCUGUUGGGGGCAACUUCAGUGGCUAAGCGAAAGUGAUAAGUAUCCCACCUGGGGAGUACGUUCGCAAGAAUG